UAAGACUUAUGAACGAUUAGCCCACAUCUUCUAAAUGCAACUUAGACGCUUUUAUUAAGCUAAAGCCUCA
rnacentral:tRNA from 1 species